rnacentral:tRNA from 1 species
UAGGGGGUUCGAUUCCUUCCUUUCUUA